GAUGAACGCUGGCGGCGUGCCUAAUACAUGCAAGUCGAACGAACAGACGAGGAGUUUGUUCCUCGGACGUUAGCCGCGGACGGGAGAGUAACAUGUGGAUAACCCACCUAUAAGACUGAGAUCACUUCGAGACACCGGCUCAUAUACCAGAUAAUAUAUUGAUGCAUAUGGUUCAAUGGUAAAAUACGGUUUUGCUGUCACUAAUAGAUGCAUCCGCGCCGCAUUAGCUAGUUGGUAAGGUAACGGCUUACCAAGGCAACGAUGCGUAGCCGACCUGGGAGGGUGAUCGGCCACCCUGGAGCGGAGACACGGUCAAUACGCCUACGGGAGGCAGCAGAAGGGAAUCUUCGGCAACGGGGGAGAGCUUGACGGAGCAAGGCCGCGUGAGUGAUGAAGAUCUUCGGAGCGUAAAAAUCGGUUAUUAGGGAAGAACAAAUUUGUAAUUAACUAUGCACGUCUUGACGGUACCUAAUCAGAAAGCAACGGCUAACUACGUG
rnacentral:rRNA from 1 species